ensembl:lncRNA
AUGUCGUGGAGAUGCUGUGUGUUUCGUUGUGAAUGCGAAACUACUUUGUCUGGCCUGCCAAAAGAGUUCACAACUAGAAAUCAGUGGUUAAGUUGUAAUUACAACACUGUUCCAGAACAGUUCAAACCAAAUAUUUGUGUGUGUGCAACGCAUUUUACAGAGGACUGUUUCCUGAUCCUGGGAGAGAAGACUACAAUGCCGGCUGUUCUGACUCACAACCUAGAAGCCAGAACGAGUCGUGAAGCAUUGGAUGGUCUGCUGCACCUUGACACCCCGACCCGCAGUUCCUCAGGGUGAGGCCAAGUACAUGUGGAACCUUCCAUCCAGCUGCACAUGAUCAGACGUACAGCAUGUGAGAGACACCGCUAGGGACCCUGCAAGACAACAAGCCAAUCCAUGACCCGACAGGCAGGCCUCCUAAGCCGGCCCCAGGUGACGUCUGGUCAGCCAAACACAAGGGCAGAGUCUGGGGAGUAUCUCCAUGGGAUUGUAUAAACAACACUUCUGCAGAACUCAUCUCCCACUGGCUGCCAAAUCUCGUUAAUGUUUCAUCUCCAAACCUUAAGAGUAUCAGGAGUCAUAACACAUAUUUGAGGAGGAAAUACAGAUGAUGGACUGCAAUUGUAUCUUCUUGCCUUUCAUAUUAUGGAACACUGAAAACACCCUGGGCACAUUGUUAUGAUAUGUAUUUUGUGAGGUCCCCUAACAAGAAAUCAAUCACUUUUUUACAUUUAAAAAGCCUUGGCAUGAAAAUCCAUUGCUACAAGCAAACGAUUAAGUCAUUGUUUUGUUAAUACAUGCCAAUUUUCAAACCAACAUGUAUUAAAAAAAAAUACUAAUCAUAAAAGUGUAGUUAUUUUUUGAAUUUAUAAUAUUACUGUACAUCUAGUCAUUUCAUGAUAAUGUUUAAUAAAUGAGACACUAAGCCAAUAUAUUUAUUAAAUAAACACAUGUGCAUGAAUAUAGAAGCUACAUGGCAUAAUUUCAUUCUAAGUGUAUGCAACUCGAGGUGUCCGUUGUUUAAAUAAACACUGUCAGGUCACAUUGGAGGUUACUGGAAAAAGGUCGAGUAAAUGUUAAUUCAUGUUAAUAUGGCAAUUAUAUCAGCAUAACUAAAAUGCACAAUAGAUCAUUAUACAGGUAUUGCUUGUAAACCACAGAUUUUACAUUGCAAUACAUUGACUGAAUGUAAAACUAUUUUUACUUUCUGUGGUGUACUGGAAAUUGUACUUUAUAAAACAGUCUGGUAUUCCUUGCAAAUACAUAUGUUUUCAACCUAAACAGUGGGGAAUUAAAGAAGACUAAAUAGCCCAAUCUGUAGGCAGAUGUGAGAUGCGGCCCAUUAAGAGCGAAGAGCUCUUUGAUCGAAGCUCUUGAGGUUGCGCAGCUCUCGGACAUUACUACUGAUGGCAGCAGGUGAAAGAGUACAAGAAGAAGGACUCACUGCUUUGGUCGAAAGGUAGAUGGGUGAAAAAAGAAAAGUAGCCGAGAAGCUUUUCAGCCAGUUGAGUUUCAGAUGAGAAGACCCUAGAGAAAACAGGAGAAAGUCAUUAACAACCACAGUAUCACGGUGAUCUAUUUGCAUGGAUGAGCUACAAGCGGAUAAUGAACUAGCCUUAACAUUUCUCCUUUUCUCUGCAUAGAUGUCUCUUUGCCUCCUUCCAAGCUUGUAGCGCACCACUGGGAGAGCUCUCGCCUGUAUAAAACAGCAUGACAAAUCAAUGCCUUAUUCCAAAAUCAAGGGAAAAGGUUAUUCUCUGUCUCCAUGGGAUUCGGCGCUCCCCUGUAUGUUUUGCCCUCCCAUUCUCCAUUUAAAACCAAACAAACCUCAGUCUUAUCCACACUCCCUAAUUAAGAGUAGGGCAGUGGGGCGUUUUUUGUCUUUUUGGUUACGCUUGCAGUGAUAGUGUGGGGAGUGUGAAAACAGAUCUGAUGGACCGCAUGCUCCCGGCUCUACUCUGCCCAAGCUCCAGCAGGUACAGCAGCGUGAUUGACAGCUCUCAGGUCAGCCACCCAUCUUCCAGACUGCUGUAGGGUGGGCGUUAAAGAGAUUUGGAAUGCCUGGGACCCUGAUUGCUUUAUAGCCGGGCUGUCAGAGCCAUUGUAUGGGUUGGUAUUAUUAGGGUUUGCCAUGUCUCCCCGUCUGGGAGUCAUCACGUUUGCUGCUCUCAACAUAAAGAGGCAACACCACACCCUUUAUAUCUCUUCUUUCUCUUUGGCUGAAAGAAAGAGAGAGGGUGAGAAAGAGAAAUAGAGAAAAAAAAGAAGGGAAACAGAAUCGUUAGAGUCCCUUGGGAAAGCAACCAAAUGCGGUGGAACUCACACCAAACGUUCUUUGUCUUUGACAAUAGAAAAUUUUCAAUCAAUACUGCAGCAGCUUGUGUAAAAUACACAGAUUCAAUGAAGCUUAUUUUUAUUAUAUACUUAACAGGUAAAGAGUCAACAAAAAAUAUAAUUUGUAUUUAUUUAAUUACUAUUUAGCAUCCUGCAAUUUUAAUGACAAUGUUUUGUUUAAAGAAGAGAUUAUGUUGAGCAAGUAGUAAUUUCUUGUUAGAUUUACAAAAUAUUUUGGAAUUUUAUCCCAACCAAAACAUAUGCUUACGUUUAUUUAAUUUUUAUUUAACAUUUUUGGUUCUUUAAAAAAGGGAACCAGACAAGUGAAAUAAUACCUUUAAUAAGCAACACAUUAUAUUAUGCAUGUUGCAUUUAAAAAAUAGCAAUAAUUAAGAAAAGCAAAAAGCAUUCCUGCAAUAAACAUUUAUGUUAAUUUAUAACGCAACAUAUGUUAACAAGUUCUUCCUUUGGCAGAUUUUUCUCCAGUCAUCUCAUUCCCGCAGGUAAAGAUAGUGUGCAUCGGUCCUAAAAAAAACAAGCAAGAAUACAUGUUCUUUUUUUUACCCCCAUCUCUUCCCUCCCCUCUUAAUUCCCCAGGCGGGGAUGACAGACUGACAGGUUGCUGGAGGUCAGUGGAGCUGUGGCCCUUCUCUCCCUGGGACUGGGCCGAUAGUCCAUACAGGUCCCCGGCACUCCUGGCUUCCUCAUGUAUUUUCGCUGGAACCCUGCCGAUGACUCGACGGUGUACCAGCCUCCUUGGAGACAUGACAAUGGGCGGGGUGCUGCGUUGCCGACUCACACCUUUCUGGUCAACGCCUUUCUGCGUCCCUGUGGGGUAAACCGGGGCCAGCGCCACUCACUCACUCAGCCUAUCCACCCCCCUUUCCCUCUAGCACAUAGGACAUCCCGGCUUCAGUCGGGCCCCGGCGCCCUGGCACGGGCAGC